ensembl:lncRNA novel transcript
CACACUGUUCCUGCUUCCUGACAGGUUCACUUGAACCAUCUGGAGAUUGGGGAACAAGGGCAAUGAGUUGAACAUGUAGGAAGUUUCAUGGCCCAGCCCCUCCUGAGAGCCCUGAACUGCCAACCAGACUGAGCCCAUCAGAGAAUAACACCUCAUUUUCUGAGGAUUCUGAUACCUUUUCAAUCAGAAACAGAAGCAAAGAUUCUGCAGCUCCCACAGAAACUCCCAGAAACCUUGCGGUGCUUCACCCUUCUGAGAUCCUUGAGUCCGAAUGUGGGAGCUAACCAGGCACAUCUUCACAAUGAAAUCUUCACAAGCUCAGAACCAUCAACUUGCUACACUGUGUUCCUCCAGUGCCCAGUUCACAGGAAGCACUCAAGAAAAUCAAGGCUGAAUCAAACAGGACUACUGUUCUGAAAGAAUACUCAGACUAUGAGUCUUCCUCCAGACAGGCACGCCAUACAACCGACUACACUUGGGCUCACUGAAUGAAUCACAUUCUUCUGCUGUGCCUCCCAGAGAUUUCAUCAAAGCACCCGCAGUGGCCUUCUGGAGGCUCCUCAAACUCUCCACUCAAUGUUUCCUGAAAGUGUCGUGUUUCUCACCUCUAGAUUGUUAUUCUCAUCAGUUACAUGUGGGUUUCACAAAUUUAUUUCUCAGAAUGCAAGUCUGUCUCUUAUAUCCUCGGGAAACACACCUUUAUAUCCCAGUUAGUACUGACAAAAAUUAAACUAGGGACUGGCCAAAAACAGUGCCUUUCCUCACUUUAAUCUCACUAAAGUAGAUAAGACUCAAGUUAUUUUGUUCUUGCAAUGGCAUUGACAAAUGUUUGCACCAAAAACCAUGUUGAAGUUCAUUAAGGAAACUGUGAUCCAAGAUCCAAGGUCAAAAAAACAAAUUCAUCAAUUCAGCACACCACCAACUCACAGGCUAAGCAUCUUACUGCUAAUUCAUUGAUGCUGCCAUUUGUCAAGUGCCAAAUUGAAUUAUUGAUUUGUCAAUAAUUUCCUUCCGUUGGUUACUUAUAUAGUAUAUUGCAAUUCUUGUUGCUGAAGUCAGCUACACUUUUUCUAUUUGAAAAACAAUUUCUUGCAUUUGGGAUUUCAGGUAUAGUGAUUGUUACAAAUAUGAAGGACUUGAAUUAACAGCAAGUUUUCAAGUAAAACUUUACUUAUGUAUAACUGAAUGAGUUCUUAAAGACAUUUACUAACAAUUUUCCACAAACUAAAAAUUUAUAAAACAAUAAAUAAAAUAGACUUUAAAAAAAA